AUCGCCUCGGGCCUUUGGGCUAAGGUCAGGUGUAGUAUCGGUUCUUACCAGUUCAGUAUCUGGUACGUCCUUUACCCAAGGACAACAUGUUCAACGGAUUUUUGAAAUGAGGGGAUGGAAUGGGAGCUUGCUCCGUCCACUCCACGCACCGACCCGGUAUUGCAGCACCUCCUGGGGUGAUGCACCCCCU